GGGUGUGAGGGCGAUCUGGCUGCUACAUCUGUCACCCCAUUGAUCGCCAGGGUUGAUGCGGCUGGUCUGGCUGGUGAGGCACGUGUCCCCUUCCUUCCUCAGCGCUCCAUGCGCGUCCCUCCCGAAGCUGUGCGCUCGGUGGAAGAGGACGACCACCCCGGACAGAGGAGGACUGUUCCUCAGUCAAGGGUGUAUGAGGAGCUGCGCUCCCCUGCUAGAACCUCCACACGAGCUCUCAGAAACUGAAAUCAGAUUGCCUCAUAGGGUAUAUUUCUGUGCUGUGCUACAUGAUCCUGCCUUUAAAAAUUGAAUUCAUUUUCUCCUUUU
rnacentral:snRNA from 1 species